rnacentral:rRNA from 1 species
UAAUACAUCGGAACGUGUCCAGUAAUGGGGGAUAACUUAGCGAAAGUUAGGCUAAUACCGCAUACGAUCUGCGGAUGAAAGCGGGGGAUGCAGCAAUAAAAGAUUCUGGCAGAGUACAGUCAAAGGCAAUCCAAGAGUUUUUGCUGCUGCACCUCGCGUUAUUGGAGCGGAUGAUGUAUGAUUAGCUAGUUGGUGAGGUAAUGGCUUACCAAGGCGACGAUCAUUAGCUGGUCUGAGAGGACGGCCAGCCACACUGGGAUUGAGACACGGCCCAGACUCAUACGGGAGGCAGCAGUGGGGAAUUUUGCACAAUGCCCGAAAGGGUGAUGCAGCAACGCCGCGUGAGGGAUGAAGGCAUUCGGGUCGUAAACCUCUUUCGACCGGGAAAAACGCCCCGAUGAAGAAUCGGGGCUGAUGGUACCGGUGGAAGAAGCCCCAGGCCAAAUACGUG